CCUAAGGUAGCGAAAUUCCUUGUCGGGUAAGUUCCGACCUGCACGAAUGGCGUAAUGAUGGCCAGGCUGUCUCCACCCGAGACUCAGUGAAAUUGAACUCGCUGUGAAGAUGCAGUGUACCCGCGGCAAGACGGAAAGACCCCGUGAACCUUUACUAUAGCUUGACACUGAACAUUGAGCCUUGAUGUGUAGGAUAGGUGGGAGGCUUUGAAGUGUGGACGCCAGUCUGCAUGGAGCCGACCUUGAAAUACCACCCUUUAAUGUUUGAUGUUCUAACGUUGACCCGUGAUCCGGGUUGCGGACAGUGUCUGGUGGGUAGUUUGACUGGGGCGGUCUCCUCCUAAAGAGUAACGGAGGAGCACGAAGGUUGGCUAAUCCUGGUCGGACAUCAGGAGGUUAGUGCAAUGGCAUAAGCCAGCUUGACUGCGAGCGUGACGGCGCGAGCAGGUGCGAAAGCAGGUCAUAGUGAUCCGGUGGUUCUGAAUGGAAGGGCCAUCGCUCAACGGAUAAAAGGUACUCCGGGGAUAACAGGCUGAUACCGCCCAAGAGUUCAUAUCGACGGCGGUGUUUGGCACCUCGAUGUCGGCUCAUCACAUCCUGGGGCUGAAGUAGGUCCCAAGGGUAUGGCUGUUCGCCAUUUAAAGUGGUACGCGAGCUGGGUUUAGAACGUCGUGAGACAGUUCGGUCCCUAUCUGCCGUGGGCGCUGGAGAACUGAGGGGGGCUGCUCCUAGUACGAGAGGACCGGAGUGGACGCAUCACUGGUGUUCGGGUUGUCAUGCCAAUGGCACUGCCCGGUAGCUAAAUGCGGAAGAGAUAAGUGCUGAAAGCAUCUAAGCACGAAACUUGCCCCGAGAUGAGUUCUCCCUGACUCCUUGAGAGUCCUGAAGGAACGUUGAAGACGACGACGUUGAUAGGCCGGAUGUGUAAGCGCAGCGAUGCGUUGAGCUAACCGGUACUAAUGAACCGUGAGGCUUAACCUU
rnacentral:rRNA from 1 species